AGUGAACGCUGGCGGUAGGCCUAACACAUGCAAGUCGAACGGCAGCACAGUAAGAGCUUGCUCUUACGGGUGGCGAGUGGCGGACGGGUGAGGAAUACAUCGGGAUCUACUUUUUCGUGGGGGAUAACGUAGGGAAACUUACGCUAAUACCGCAUACGACCUACGGGUGAAAGCAGGGGAUCUUCGGACCUUGCGCGAUUGAAUGGGCCGAUGUCGGAUUAGCUAGUUGGCGGGGUAAAGGCCCACCAAGGCGACGAUCCGUAGCUGGUCUGAGAGGAUGAUCAGCCACACUGGAACUGAGACACGGUCCAGACUCCUACGGGAGGCAGCAGUGGGGAAUAUUGGACAAUGGGCGCAAGCCUGAUCCAGCCAUACCGCGUGGGUGAAGAAGGCCUUCGGGUUGCAAAGCCCUUUUGUUGGGAAAGAAAAGCAGCAGGUUAAUACCCCGCUGUUCUGACGGUACCCAAAGAAUAAGCACCGGCUAACUUCGUG
rnacentral:rRNA from 1 species